rnacentral:rRNA from 1 species
CCAGACUCCUACGGGAGGCAGCAGUGGGGAAUAUUGGGCAAUGGGCGCAAGCCUGACCCAGCAACGCCGCGUGAAGGAAGAAGGCUUUCGGGUUGUAAACUUCUUUUGACAGGGAAGAGCAGAAGACGGUACCUGUCGAAUAAGCCACGGCUGACUACGUGCCAGCAGCCGCGGUAAUACGUAGGUGGCAAGCGUUGUCCGGAUUUACUGGGUGUAAAGGGCGUGUAGCCGGGAAGGCAAGUCAGAUGUGAAAUCCGGAGGCUCAACCUCCGAAUUGCAUUUGAAACUGUUUUUCUUGAGUACUGGAGAGGCAGACGGAAUUCCUUGUGUAGCGGUGAAAUGCGUAGAUAUAAGGAGGAACAUCAGUGGCGAAGGCGGCCUGCUGGACGACAACUGACGGUGAGGCGCGAAAGCGUGGGGAGCAAACAGGAUUAGAUACCCUCGUACUG